AUUCGAUGAUAGUUUUAUCUGCACAGAAAAGCACCAGCUACCAGAGUUAUGGACAGAAGUACAAAAAGCAGGAAUCUAUUCUAAAAUGGGAAGGUGGCUCCUGUUUCUGAGAAGAUGAGCAGUAUUUUUAAGAAGAUGGCAUUUGUACUAGACCAGAGGGGAAAAAAGGCAGCAGUCAGAUCAGUUCUGCUGGCCAUGACACGAAGUGGAAGUGGGUGUCCCUAAUUAUGGGAUUCAGAGAAUCCAAGUUCUCCACAGCAGCUGCUUUCACAAACUCAAGAUUUGGAGAUUUAAGGUUACAACUUGCUGAUCCAAACCCAACUCAGUUGUGGCUACAAUUUGUUGCUGCAAGACAAUACUGGCAGAAGAACAAAUGGAUCCAUGAAUAAAUUCAGGCUGAUAAUUAGAAAACAGUUUUUAGCCAUCUGGAAAAGAAGGCAGACUGCAGAAGGUUGUGGAACAGCCUUCAGAAGAAUAUUGGAAUGGAAUGGUUGAAUUUUUUUGAAGAUGAAUCUUGACAAUCUUCUGCAUUAAAUUGUUCAGGAGAAUCAUCUGCAAUGAUGGGGGUGGGGGCAGAAAAACAAAAGUUUGUGCUGUGCUGUUCAUCCCUUUGUGCAACAGGAAGGAAUGAGAUGCUGUUCUAUAAGGAUGAACAUCUGUGUUAUGGAGUGCAGAUGACGAAUGUGGAGGUCAGGAGCAGGAUGGACAUGGAUCACUUCCCCCCACUAAGCAGAGUUGUAUUUUUCUGCCUUCAGGACUGUAGCAUCUGGAGUGAUCUUCAGUCUCAGCCGUUUCUUUAGCUCAAACUCUUUAGUUCGUUCUUGGGGAAGUGCUCCAGAAGUGCAGAACACUUGGACUGUGGGACUUCUGUGCCUGUGUCAAUGAUCACAUACAGAUGGUAUGAAAACACAGAGAUCCAGCUGGUUCCCAUGGCAUUGAGACAAAAUUACGUGGAGUGGAGAAUUCCUUCUGAAAGACUAAAAAACAUGAAGAAGUUAUGGACAAACAAGGCCAGACUUCCUUCAGAGAAAAAGGCUCUUGUUCAUUUAAAAAGAGCUUCAGGAGAUGGAAGGCCUGAGAUAGGCUCAGACCCCCAUGCAACAAAUUAAAAAAAACAAAGAACAGUGUGUCUAGCCCCCAUACGCACUGAACUCUCCAGGAAGCAAGUUCCUCAACAGAACCCCGAAUGCAACUGAACUCUCGUUUUUAUAACCCCCCUUUGGGUCCAGGAUUGAUGGGUUUUGGAUCCACACGGUGAUUGGCAUGUUUCUGGUGUUCCUAUUGGUCUCUAUUGUCGUUAUUCCUGACCAAUCAUUUCCUUGGGGCAUCAAAUGAUUGGUUAGGCCUUUCCUCCAAACUCCUUCCGUGGCACUGGUUUCAUUGCGCUGACUCUGUUCCUGGAUGUUAUUCUGCCCCUUUGGACCAUCCCCCCGCUACAUCCCGGACCCUUUAGAACUUGCAAAGAACAUUGACUAACCCCCUUAAAACAAUAACUCUCCUUCCCAAGGUUACAAUAAUCAACUCAACCUUAACUCGAUACAAACCCAAUCUCACUUAUAACAACUAUGCUUCUAUUAAAAUAUCAGACACUGAUUUUUUUGUUACAUUGGGCCUAUCCUGGAAAUUCAUGAAUCAGACUCUUGUGAGAGGCAGGCACUGUUGAUUUUUCCAGUUCUUCUUGAAGGGAACUGCCAUGCUUCAUCACACUGACCCGGGGUCAAAGAAAAAUAGGACAAAAAAAUGUUCAUAUUCAGCUUCACCUUGGAGAGUCUCAUGGCAAAGGCCUCAUAUUCAAAACUUUAUCUAGAAAGGUGGAUUUAAUGAAGUACCACAGAAACAGUGAAAUCUAUUUUGAAGUUAUCUUUAAAAUGUCAUGACAUAUUUUUAUUAGUUUGAAAGAUACUUAAAAUGAAGCAUGCAUAUUUAUUUAAAAUAUUUAAAUCUCCAAAAUGAAAAAUUGUUUCUGUCAUUGAAAAUGACGAAUUUUUCCUGUUGCCCAACUGUGCAGACUUGCAUAGUGCCAUUAAAAUAGCCCAAAUGAAAACUUAAAAUGAUGUAGCUGUGUUGGUUUGGUUUUUUCUCUGUUAGUGGAAAUUGGUCUUCUCUGAUCUCUUCACAUAUAUACUGAAGUUCAAGCUAUAUUGAUAAAACGUGGAUUUUAAUGAUAAUUUUGUUUUUAGGGAUUGCACUUGUAUGUGAUCAUGCUUUAGUAAUAAGAUUAUUUCAUUUUAUUCAUGUAUUGUGAUGCAUAAUAUUAAUUAAUUAAAUUAUAUUGUAUACUAAUAAACAUGUUAGCAAUAAUCAUAUGCUUAAAAUAGUAGCUGCUACAACAAAAAAGAGAAAUAAAAGUAACAAUAAAAAAAAAACACCAGAAAGACUGCUCAAGAGUUUUUUUCAGCAGCUGGACAAGUUCUUCUCUUCUAGGUCUUAUCAGAAGUAAAGAGAAGUUAAUGAAAACUUUUGCAGACUUACUGGUUGCAGGGAAGAAAUUACUUCUAUUAUACGCUGAAGGAUUAAAUCCAUUAAAUCUCUUUUAACUCCUGACUGCUCAGCAGCUUGGAUGGGUUGAAGAUUUCAAUCUGCAUGCACAGUACAGGUACUGUUCUUGGUUUCAUUAAAUGUUUCUUCUUCUCAAUAGACUCUGUCUACCUUGCCCAAAAUUUAAAAUUGGCUUUAUGAAAACCACUGUCCUGAUAGAUAUGCAUCUGACAGGAAAGGGCAUCAUUUAACAAUAAUUUCCAAUGAUGUAAGUCUAGAAAUACUAAUGGAGGUAAUUACGUGCCAAUAGCCCUUAUUAAAGCUUUAGUAUAUCAGUCUCCAUAAUUAGCCUCUCUGUAUGAGGACAGCAUCUGGCUCUUCAAAUCUCUUUCCAAGAAAGGCACUGAGGUAGACGUCCAGGUUUCUACAGACUGUUUUUUAUGCUGUGCAUACACUUUUUUGAA